rnacentral:rRNA from 1 species
CCCUUAGAUGUCCUGGGCCGCACGCGCGCUACACUGACACAUGCAACGAGUUUAUAACCUUGGUCGAGAGUCCUGGGUAAUCUUUUGAACGUGUGUCGUGAUAGGGAUUGAUAAUUGCAAUUGUUUAUCAUGAACGAGGAAUGCCUAGUAAACGCAAGUCAUCAGCUUGCAUUGAUUACGUCCCUGCCCUUUGUACACACCGCCCGUCGCUCCUACCGAUUGAAUGAUCCGAUGAAUAUCAUGGAUUGAGGAUUAUAGCAGGUUCGCCUGUCUUGAUCUUCGAGAAGUGAAGUAAAUCUUAUCAUUUAGAGGAAGGAGAAGUCGUAACA